rnacentral:rRNA from 1 species
GGAACAUUUUAAAUGCAGUCCAGCACCCCUGUGAAAAGCCCUUCUUUACCUAUUAGUAAAUAAGGAGCGGAUAUCAGGCACAAUUUAUGCCCAUAACAUCUUGCCAAGCCACACCUCUACAGGAAUUCAGCAGUGAUAAACAUUGAAAAAUAAGCGUCAAUAAGCUCGAAUCAGUAAUAAUUUUAAGAGUUGGUAAAUUUCGGGCCAGCCACCGCGGUUAUACGAGAAACUCAAAUUAAUAAAAACGGCCUAAAGCGUGAUUAAAUUAUAUUAAAAUAAAUAGAAAUAAAAAUUAACUCGACUGUUAUACGUAUAUGUUAAACGGUAAACCAAAAACGAAAGAUAUUCUAACAAAUAAACUACUUGAACCCACGAAAGCUAAGAAACAAACUAGGAUUAGAUACCCUACUAUGCUCAGCCUUAAACUUUGGAACAACCCGCCUGAGUACUACGAGCCACAGCUUAAAACUCAAAGGACUUGGCGGUGCUCUACACCCCUAUUGCCAAUACCGCUUAUAUACCGCCGUCGUCAGCUCACCAUUUGAAUGCGAAUUAGGUGGAAAGAAAUGGGCUACAUUUUCUAAACUAGAAAAUACGAAAAAUUUUAUGAAAAACUAUUUAAAGGUGGAUUUAGCCGUAAAAAGAAAAUAGAGUGUUCUUUUUAAAUAGGCCAUAGAGGGGCACACACCGCCCGUCACCCUCCUCAGAAAAACAACUAAUUUAUAUAAAAGAAAUCGAAGAAACCC